AGGUUAAGCUGAAGAGGCGGAGCCGCAGCGAAAGCGAGUCUGAAUAGGGCGUUUAGUACGUGGUCGUAGACCCGAAACCAGGUGAUCUACCCAUGUCCAGGGUGAAGUUCAGGUAACACUGAAUGGAGGCCCGAACCCACGCACGUUGAAAAGUGCGGGGAUGAGGUGUGGGUAGCGGAGAAAUUCCAAUCGAACCUGGAGAUAGCUGGUUCUCCCCGAAAUAGCUUUAGGGCUAGCCUUAAGUGUAAGAGUCUUGGAGGUAGAGCACUGAUUGGACUAGGGGUCCUCAUCGGAUUACCGAAUUCAGUCAAACUCCGAAUGCCAAUGACUUAUCCUUAGGAGUCAGACUGCGAGUGAUAAGAUCCGUAGUCAAAAGGGAAACAGCCCAGACCGCCAGCUAAGGUCCCAAAGUGUGUAUUAAGUGGAAAAGGAUGUGGAGUUGCUUAGACAACUAGGAUGUUGGCUUAGAAGCAGCCACCAUUUAAAGAGUGCGUAAUAGCUCACUAGUCGAGUGACUCUGCGCCGAAAAUGUACCGGGGCUAAAUACACCACCGAAGCUGCGGAUUGAUACCAAUGGUAUCAGUGGUAGGGGAGCGUUCUAAGGACAGUGAAGUCAGACCGGAAGGACUGGUGGAGUGCUUAGAAGUGAGAAUGCCGGUAUGAGUAGCGAAAGACGGGUGAGAAUCCCGUCCACCGAAUGCCUAAGGUUUCCUGAGGAAGGCUCGUCCGCUCAGGGUUAGUCAGGACCUAAGCCGAGGCCGACAGGCGUAGGCGAUGGACAACAGGUUGAUAUUCCUGUACCACCUCUUUAUCGUUUGAGCAAUGGAGGGACGCAGAAGGAUAGAAGAAGCGUGCGAUUGGUUGUGCACGUCCAAGCAGUUAGGCUGAUAAGUAGGCAAAUCCGCUUAUCGUGAAGGCUGAGCUGUGAUGGGGAAGCUCCUUAUGGAGCGAAGUCUUUGAUUCCCCGCUGCCAAGAAAAGCUUCUAGCGAGAUAAAAGGUGCCUGUACCGCAAACCGACACAGGUAGGCGAGGAGAGAAUCCUAAGGUGUGCGAGAGAACUCUGGUUAAGGAACUCGGCAAAAUGACCCCGUAACUUCGGGAGAAGGGGUGCUUUCUUAACGGAAAGCCGCAGUGAAUAGGCCCAAGCGACUGUUUAGCAAAAACACAGCUCUCUGCGAAGCCGUAAGGCGAAGUAUAGGGGGUGACACCUGCCCGGUGCUGGAAGGUUAAGGAGAGGGGUUAGCGUAAGCGAAGCUCUGAACUGAAGCCCCAGUAAACGGCGGCCGUAACUAUAACGGUCCUAAGGUAGCGAAAUUCCUUGUCGGGUAAGUUCCGACCCGCACGAAAGGUGUAACGAUUUGGGCACUGUCUCAACCAGAGACUCGGUGAAAUUAUAGUACCUGUGAAGAUGCAGGUUACCCGCGACAGGACGGAAAGACCCCGUGGAGCUUUACUGUAGCCUGAUAUUGAAUUUUGGUACAGUUUGUACAGGAUAGGCGGGAGCCUUUGAAACCGGAGCGCUAGCUUCGGUGGAGGCGCUGGUGGGAUACCGCCCUGACUGUAUUGAAAUUCUAACCUACGGGUCUUAUCGACCCGGGAGACAGUGUCAGGUGGGCAGUUUGACUGGGGCGGUCGCCUCCUAAAGUGUAACGGAGGCGCCCAAAGGUUCCCUCAGAAUGGUUGGAAAUCAUUCGUAGAGUGCAAAGGCAUAAGGGAGCUUGACUGCGAGACCUACAAGUCGAGCAGGGACGAAAGUCGGGCUUAGUGAUCCGGUGGUUCCGCAUGGAAGGGCCAUCGCUCAACGGAUAAAAGCUACCCCGGGGAUAACAGGCUUAUCUCCCCCAAGAGUCCACAUCGACGGGGAGGUUUGGCACCUCGAUGUCGGCUCAUCGCAUCCUGGGGCUGUAGUCGGUCCCAAGGGUUGGGCUGUUCGCCCAUUAAAGCGGUACGCGAGCUGGGUUCAGAACGUCGUGAGACAGUUCGGUCCCUAUCCGUCGUGGGCGUAGGAAAUUUGAGAGGAGCUGUCCUUAGUACGAGAGGACCGGGAUGGACGCACCGCUGGUGUACCAGUUGUUCUGCCAAGGGCAUAGCUGGGUAGCUAUGUGCGGAAGGGAUAAGUGCUGAAAGCAUCUAAGCAUGAAGCCCCCCUCAAGAUGAGAUUUCCCAUAGCGUAAGCUA
rnacentral:rRNA from 1 species